rnacentral:rRNA from 1 species
AUUGAACGCUGGCGGCAGGCCUAACACAUGCAAGUCGAGCGAGCGGCGGACGGGUGAGUAAUGUCUGGGAAACUGCCUGAUGGAGGGGGAUAACUACUGGAAACGGUAGCUAAUACCGCAUACCAUCAGAUGUGCCCAGAUGGGAUUAGCUAGUAGGUGGGGUAAUGGCUCACCUAGGCGACGAUCCCUAGCUGGUCUGAGAGGAUGACCAGCCACCCUGGAACUGAGAAACGUCCAAGACCCCGAGGGGAGGCAGCGGUGGGGAAUAUUGCACAAGGGGGGAAAGCUGGAGGCAGCCAGGCGGCGUGUGGGAAGAAGGCCUUCGGGUUGUAAAGAACUUUCAGCGGGGAGGCGUUACCCGCAGAAGAAGCACCGGCUAACUCCGUGCCAGCAGCCGCGGUAAUU